rnacentral:rRNA from 1 species
CCAAUAGCGUAUAUUAAAGUUGUUGCAGUUAAAAAGCUCGUAGUUGAAUUUCGGAAUCAGUAUGUCGGUCGUGCCUCCGGUAUGUACUGGCGUCACUGGUUCCUCCCUUCUGACGAACCAUCAUGCUAUUAAUUUAGUGUGGUGGGAAAUCAGGACUGUUACUUUGAAAAAAUUAGAGUGUUUAAAGCAGGCUCACGCUUGAAUACAUUAGCAUGGAAUAAUGAAAUAGGACGUUGAUCCUAUUUUGUUGGUUUCUAGGAUUGACGUAAUGAUUAAUAGGGAUAGUUGGGGGCAUUAGUAUUCAAUUGUCAGAGGUGAAAUUCUUGGAUUUAUUGAAGACUAACUACUGCGAAAGCAUUUGCCAAGGAUGUUUUCAUUAAUCAAGAACGAAAGUUAGGGGAUCGAAGACGAUCAGAUACCGUCGUAGUCUUAACCAUAAACUAUGCCGACUAGGGAUCGGAUGAUGUUAAUUUUUUAAUGACUCAUUCGGCGCCUUACG